rnacentral:tRNA from 1 species
GCCUGGGUGGCGAAAUUGGUAGACGCAGCAGACUCAAAAUCUGCCGGUGGUAACACCGUGUCGGUUCGACUCCGACCCUAGGCACCA